AGAGUUUGAUCCUGGCUCAGGAUGAACGCUAGCGGGAGGCCUAACACAUGCAAGUCGAACGGGAUUGAGAGCUUGCUCUCAUGAGAGUGGCGCACGGGUGAGUAACGCGUAUGCAACCUACCUUUAACUGAGGGAUAGCCCAUAGAAAUGUGGAUUAAUACCUCAUAGUUCUAUUAGAUCGCAUGAUUUGAUAGAUAAAGCUCCGGCGGUUAAAGAUGGGCAUGCGUGACAUUAGUUUGUUGGUGAGGUAACGGCUCACCAAGACUACGAUGUCUAGGGGUUCUGAGAGGAUAAUCCCCCACACUGGUACUGAGACACGGACCAGACUCCUACGGGAGGCAGCAGUGAGGAAUAUUGGUCAAUGGGCGCAAGCCUGAACCAGCCAUCCCGCGUGCAGGAUGAAGGCCCUAUGG
rnacentral:rRNA from 1 species